GUGCUCACUUCAGCAGCACAUAAACCCAAACUGGGACAAUAUAGGAGAUUAGCAUGGCCCAUGUGCAAGGAUGACAUGUAAAUUUAUGAAGUAUUCCAAAUUUUU
ensembl:snRNA U6 U6 spliceosomal RNA